GCUAAAGCAUAAUAUAAGCCAAGUUACCUAAUGACCUUGUGAUAUAUACUUUAUUGAUAUACCAGAAUCUAAAGUGGGCAGCAAAAUAUAAGGAUCCAAAGUAUUAAUGUAAUAUAGUUUAGUCUUAAUCAUGUGGCAUCUAAAAUUAAUGUACCACAUUUUAAUUCAAGCAGUCCAACAUGUGUAUGGUGCCUACUGAAUUAUGGAGUCAUCAUGGAGAUAACCAAAAUUAAUAAAUAGAUGAAUUAAAUUUUAUUUUUCUGUAUGUAUGUAUAGAUAAUAGUUUGAUACUAUUUUUUUAAGACAGCAAAAGCAUCUCACCUUUUAUUCCUAGCUGACUUGGAAUUCUCUAUGUAGACCAGGUUGGCCUUGAAUUCAGAGAGAGCUGUCUGCCUUUGCCUCCAAUAUACCAAGAUUAAAGGCUUAAUAUACCUUAUUAAAGGCUUUAUUUCAUUCAGUCAUUUUAUAGUUGCAUACACAUAGUUGAAAAAGAUCUCAUAUCCACAGAACAGUCAUAAGAAUGGUACAAAUACCAUUUGAAGGCUAGGGGGUAAGAUGUCCCAUUAUCCUUAAAUUCUUUCAUGUAUGCUUUUUGUAAACAUGCAUGGUUUAUGGUUUUAUAUAACCAUCAAACCCAGCAAUUGAGAAAUCCUCACCAUCUAAUCUUUAUUUUGGCCCAACAGAGUUGUCUCUAGAAUGCCCUCGAUAGCCACCAAGGUCCACUUCAGAAUCCUGCUCUGCUUAGUUGUCGUGUCUCUUUAGUUGCCUUUAAUCUGAGGCAUUGUGGUUCUGCAGUGUUUUUAUUUUUAUGACUUUGAAAUUUUUGAAGAUAGAAGCUGGUUACUUUGUUUGCUGUCCCUUUGUGGAUUUGUUGUUACCUGCUGAAGUAGGUUCAUUUUAGAAGGUAAUCCUGUGUUCUGUGUUCC
rnacentral:lncRNA from 1 species